UACGUAGGGUGCAAGCGUUAAUCGGAAUUACUGGGCGUAAAGGGCGCGUAGGCGGUUAUUUAAGUUAGAUGUGAAAUCCCUGGGCUUAACCUAGGAACUGCAUCUGAUACUGGGUAACUGGAGUACUGUAGAGGGUAGUGGAAUUUCCGGUGUAGCGGUGAAAUGCGUAGAUAUCGGAAGGAACACCAGUGGCGAAGGCGGCUACCUGGACAGAUACUGACGCUGAGGCGCGAGAGCGUGGGGAGCAAACAGG
rnacentral:rRNA from 1 species